GUGUGCAGGAUAUGCACCUCUGGAUGCUUUUAUUGAAGCCAAAUAAUUGCCUCCAGGGUUCUUCAGCCCAGGAGGCCGAACUCAUUGCUUUAACUUGGGCCCUAGAGCUAAGUGAGACUGUGAACAUUUACACUGACUCUCGAUAUGCCUUUUUAACCCUCCAAGUGCAUAAAGCAUUAUAUAAAGAAACAGGCCUGUUAAACUCUGGGGGAAAAGAUAUAAAGUAUCAGCAAGAAAUCUUGCAAUUAUUAGAGGCAGUGUGGAAGCCCCAGAAGAUGGCAGUCACGCACUGCAGAGGACACCAGUGAACUCCUACUACAGUUGCUUUAGGGAACUCCUGAGUGGACUCGGAGGCUCAAAAGGCAGCAUCCACCCCUUACCGGGCAUCAAUCACAGCCCCCUUUCUCCCUCAAGAACCUGAACUUUUACCUACCUAUUCUAAGGGAGAAAAAAACUUUUUCCAAGUGGAAGGGGGACAGGUAAUAAAGGAAGGAUGGAUCCAGGUAUCGGAUGGGAGAAUAGCUGUGCCACAGCUACUUGGAGCAGAGGUUGUACUGGCUGUGCAUUUAACUACCCAUCUAGGUCAGGAAUCACUUGAAAAGUUGUUAGGCCGGUAUUUUUACAUCUCCCAUUUAUCAGCUCUUGCCAAAACAGUAGCGCAGCGAUGUGUUAUCUGCCGACAGCACAAUGCAAGACAGGGUCCAGCCGUUCUGCCAGGUAUACAGACAUAUGGAGCAGCCCCCUUUGAAGAUCUCCAAGUGAACUUCACAGAAAUGCCAAAGCGUGGAGGUGAUUGAGUGUGGAUCAAAGAUUGGAACACAUCCCCCUUGCGACCACGGUGGAAAGGAGCCCAGACCAUCAUCUUGACCACCCCCCCACAGCUGUAAAGGUAGAAGGAAUCCCAGCCUGGAUCCACCAUAGCUGAAUAAAACCUGCAGCCUCUGAAACCUGGGAGGCAAUACUGCAGUGGCACUAUCUCGGCUCACUGCAAGCUCC
rnacentral:lncRNA from 1 species